GAAGCUGACCAGACAGUCGCCGCUUCGUCGUCGUCCUCUUCGGGGGAGACGGGCGGAGGGGAGGAAAGUCCGGGCUCCAUAGGGCAGGGUGCCAGGUAACGCCUGGGGGGGAAACCCACGACCAGUGCAACAGAGAGCAAACCGCCGAUGGCCCGCGCAAGCGGGAUCAGGUAAGGGUGAAAGGGUGCGGUAAGAGCGCACCGCGCGGCUGGUAACAGUCCGUGGCACGGUAAACUCCACCCGGAGCAAGGCCAAAUAGGGGUUCAUAAGGUACGGCCCGUACUGAACCCGGGUAGGCUGCUUGA
rnacentral:RNase_P_RNA from 1 species